AGUUUUAUUUCAUUUAAAUUAUUUUAAAUUUAAAUAGACACGUGGCUAGUGGCUACUGUAUUGGACAGUGCAGGAUAGAGAAGAGUCUGGAGUCACUAACAUUCAGAGGUCUAGUAGAGGAAAUUGAGCCAGCAAAGAAGAUGGAAAAGAAAAGGGGUGAUAAGAGGAAAAUUAGCAAAGAAUGGUGUCCCCGAAAACCAAGAAAGGAAAAUAAUUGAAGAAUGAGAGUGGCUUUCAAUUCAUUUUAGUUCAGUUCAUAUCUAUUAAAUGCUGCACACUAAGCUAGGCACUGGUAGUACAGUGGUAAGGUAAUAACAGUUAACACCCAAGCAGUGACUUAACAAUGAGCCUGACUGUAUAAACCGCAUGCCUCUUGACAGGGCCCCCUGGAGAAAAGUCAUUCAACCAGUUAUUUUAUGGGUUGCCUGGGAGUGUGGGCUGCUAGGGAUCCUGGCAGCUAGGUCCCUUCCCAGCAGAGUUCAACCAUCGUCGAUCUUAAUAAGGGUAGAAAAGUAUAGAUAAAAAAGAAUGAAGCUUUUAUGCAACAACCAGGGACACCACUUUGGUUAGCAUCAUGCCUGUCCAUGACAAGGUAGGAUAAAGCUGGAAGGGAUUUCUUAGUCUGGGUCAGAGACAGAACUGGGACCAUGUGACCACCAGGAGUGAU
rnacentral:lncRNA from 1 species